GGGGAAGUAGCUCAGUGGGAGAGCACAGCGUUCGCAACGCUGGGGUCGAGGGUUCGAAUCCCUUCUUCUCCA
rnacentral:tRNA from 1 species